UACGGGGGGGCAAGCGUUGUUCGGAAUUAUUGGGCGUAAAGGGCGCGUAGGCGGUUAGAUAAGUCGGCUGUGAAAACCUCGGGCUUAACUCGAGGCCUGCCAGUUGAAACUGUCUAGCUGGAGUGUGGGAGAGGAGAGUGGAAUUCCCGGUGUAGCGGUGAAAUGCGUAGAUAUCAGGAGGAACACCGGUGGCGAAGGCGGGUCUCUGGGCCGAAUACUGACGCUGAGGAGCGAAAGCGUGGGGAGCGAACAGG
rnacentral:rRNA from 1 species